CUUGAGUUGUGCAAAAGUGCUUACAGUGCAGGUAGCAUUUUGGUAUCUACUGCAGUGGAAGCACUUCUAGCAUUACAAUGG
rnacentral:pre_miRNA from 13 species